rnacentral:rRNA from 1 species
GACGAACGCUGGCGGCGUGCUUAACACAUGCAAGUCGAACGGAAAGGCCCUGCUUUUGUGGGGUGCUCGAGUGGCGAACGGGUGAGUAACACGUGAGUAACCUGCCCUUGACUUUGGGAUAACUUCAGGAAACUGGGGCUAAUACCGGAUAGGAGCUCCUGCUGCAUGGUGGGGGUUGGAAAGUUUCGGCGGUUGGGGAUGGACUCGCGGCUUAUCAGCUUGUUGGUGGGGUAGGGGCUUACCAAGGCUUUGACGGGUAGCCGGCCUGGGAGGGUGACCGGCCACAUUGGGACUGCGAUACGGAGCAGACUCCUACGGGAGGCAGCAGUCGGGAGUAUUGCACAAUGGGCGGAAGCCUGAUGCAGCAACGCCGCGUUCGGGAUGAAGGCCUUCGGGUUGUAAACCGCUUUCGCCUGUGACGAAGCGUGAGUGACGGUAAUGGGUAAAGAAGCACCGGCUAACUACGUG